GAUUGUCUGCUAUGAGUAGAGAGGAGAGGUGAGAGGUAAGGAUUCACAUAGGAUUUUUCUUUCUCGAUGGGGGAAAGCUUAAGAGAGUGGUCAAGCCAAGAAGAAUCGGGUGGGAGCAUUCGACUUCAUCAGUCGGGUUCGCUUUCCCUUCUGUCUGUGCUAGCUAGGCUAAGCUAAGUCUAAGUCUUGCUGCUUUAGUGGAGCCGGUGGCUU
rnacentral:misc_RNA from 1 species